rnacentral:rRNA from 1 species
ACCAAAUUCUCAACGAUGGAUAUCUUGGUUCCCAUAACGAUGAAGAACGCAGCGAAGUGCGAUAAGCAAUGCGAAUUGCAGAACCGUGAGUCAUCAGAUUUUUGAACGCAACUGGCGCCGGCUGGCCCUCCAGCCGGCAUGCUUGUUUCAGUG